UCUCAUCCACUCAAUUUCACCCACAUCUCUUCUCUCUUUUGGUCGGCUCUCUCCUUUCUUUCUUUCAUUUUCUUUCUUUUCAUUUUACUGAAACACACACACACACCCACCCACCAGCCUCCACCCUAAAACACACUAUAUCACCAUCAUUUUUCCGGCAAGAUCACCAGAAAAAUACUUAGGAACUCCAAAGCAUCUUCAUCAUUUUAUUUGAGGUUCUAGCUAAUCUCCCCUUGGAGCUUGGAGAAUUAGGAUUUUGCGGUUGCGAGGUAAGUAGCUUUUUAAUGGGUAUUUUUGGAAAAUAACCAUAUCUUAUAAAUAUUGUUUUUGAGUCAAACACAUUUUGGAAAAUGAUAUAUAUGGAUAUAUGCUUUCUUAAAAGUAUUGUGUUGUGACCCUUACUAUAUAUGAAAAAUGCAUCAUAUUUGAUAUUACAUUUGGGGAAAUGCAUGAAUUGUUGAUAUGGAAAAAUGAGCAUCUUUUAUUUAAUCUUUGAUAAGAAAAUCAUUGAUUUUAUGGUGUAUUGAAAAGUUAAAGAUUCUUAUCUUGUCUUGUAUUAUUUGAGAAAUUGUUAGAAAAUCUUUUAACAAGAAUGAAGUUUGAAAACCUUACAAACUUUGUAGAAGUUAGAUUAUUUAAGGUUUUCUGAAACUAUUUGGAUAUGAACUAUGUGUUUCAAAGUAAGGUAACCUGUGAGUUUAUGUGAUUUUAGCCCUAUGCCAUGUGUGAUUUCCCGGUGAUCACCCGAUUUGAUUUCCGUAGUCUUUGUGACAAUGGAAUCAAAUUUAGGUCAGUGCCCUUUCACUUUGGAUGACGCGUUCUUCCCUGCUGUCCAUGGGGGGAAGAGGUUCCUUGAUUGUGUGUGGGUGAGGCUGCUGUCCAUGGGGCCAAGAGUUUGCAUACCAGAUAGGAUAAUAUCAUGCCAGUUGUGAAUGGGUGGAUCCCCUGACCGGUCUAUGUGGUAGUGUGGUAGAUUUGUGAUAAUUUAUCUUAUGUUAGAUAUUAUGGUUUUAGAAAUUAUAUUGUUGAUACUCACAGAUUAUGGUAUAUAGUUUCAAGGUAUUUACUUUGAAAAACUUUGUGCUUCAUUAUGUAAUCAUUCUUGUCAUAUUAUUAUUAUUGAAGAUGAAACUUACAUUUCCCCCACCCCCAUUAUUGUGCUACUUACUGGGCUUUGUCUCAUUCCAUUAUUUUUAUAAACUUUUCAGAGUAGGCAACAAUCUUUUGAGACAACUUUUUUGGUGGCUAAUAGUAGUUAGACUAACUACUGAUGGAGGCUGAAUUUUUGUAAUGGAUAUAUUAGAUGGUGUACAUCUUAGACUAGGCCUGACUCAUUCUUUUGUAUAUUAUAGUGGUUAUGACUGUAUUUCCACUGAUGGGACAAGCUGUUGUUAUGUAAUAGUUUUAUUCAGACCUCUAUUCUUUUGUGGCCUAUGAUCUUUGUAAUUAAUGCUUAGAGCUCUGACUUACUCUGAAAGUAUAUUCUAUGGGAUUAUUAUGAUAAUUCUUGUUGUUGGCACUUGAUAAAAA